rnacentral:rRNA from 1 species
CGACGUAAGAACCUGCCUCAUAGACUGGGACAACUAUUGAACGAUAGCUAAUACCGGAUAACAGCAUUAACUGCAUGGUUGAUGUUUAAAAGUGGUUUUGCUAACACUAUGAGAUGGCUUUGCGGUGCAUUAGCUAGUUGGUGGGGUAAAGGCCUACCAAGGCGACGAUGCAUAGCCGACCUGAGAGGGUGAUCGGCCACACUGGGACUGAGACACGGCCCAG